AAAGAGAUGUGGUUUCCCAGGAGCACGUGUGAAAAAUGACUUUGCAGUCCAGAUGCCCGCAGGCCCAGCAUGAGUCAGCUGAAGGAUGUGGAGGCCAAAAAACCUCAGACAAGUCUGGACCAAGCGGAGCUUCCAGAAAAAGAAAGGUGGCCCAAAAAGACGGAACUGGAAGACAGGGUGGCAAUUACAAGAAAGUGGAUUUCAGCUCAAAAUCAGGAAGUACUUUAUAAUAGUAAUGACAGCAACUUUAUUGUGUGUUUUAGUCACCUAUUGCUGCAUAAUAAAUUGCUCCAAAAUU